rnacentral:rRNA from 1 species
AUUGAACGCUGGCGGCAGGCUAAACACAUGCAAGUCGAGCGGAGAUGAGGUGCUUGCACCUUAUCUUAGCGGCGGACGGGUGAGUAAUGCUUAGGAAUCUGCCUAUUAGUGGGGGACAACAUUCCGAAAGGAAUGCUAAUACCGCAUACGUCCUACGGGAGAAAGCAGGGGAUCUUCGGACCUUGCGCUAAUAGAUGAGCCUAAGUCGGAUUAGCUAGUUGGUGGGGUAAAGGCCUACCAAGGCGACGAUCUGUAGCGGGUCUGAGAGGAUGAUCCGCCACUCUGGGACUGAGACACGGCCCAGACUCCUACGGGAGGCAGCAGUGGGGAAUAUUGGACAAUGGGGGGAACCCUGAUCCAGCCAUGCCGCGUGUGUGAAGAAGGCCUUAUGGUUGUAAAGCACUUUAAGCGAGGAGGAGGCUACUGAGACUAAUACUCUUGGAUAGUGGACGUUACUCGCAGAAUAAGCACCGGCUAACUCUGUGCCAGCAGCCGCCGUAAUAC